rnacentral:rRNA from 1 species
UACGGGGGGGGCAAGCGUUGUUCGGAAUUACUGGGCGUAAAGGGCUCGUAGGCGCCAACUAAGUCAGACGUGAAAUCCCUCGGCUUAACCGGGGAACUGCAUCUGAUACUGGUUGGCUUGAAUCCGGGAGAGGGACGUGGAAUUCCAGGUGUAGCGGUGAAAUGCGUAGAUAUCUGGAGGAACACCGGUGGCGAAGGCGGUUCUCUGGGCAUGAUCUGACGCUGAGGAGCGAAAAGUGUGGGGGAGCGAACAGGGA